rnacentral:lncRNA from 1 species
GUACUAUGUGAAAUAAGAGUGGUGAAAGUGGCCAUCUUUGUCUCAUUCCAGUUCUUGGAAGACAAGUUUUCAGCUUUUCUUUGUUCAAUAUGGUGUGGUCUUGUUAUAUUUUGCCUUUUUGUGUUAAGGCUAAUCUACAAUCAGAAGAAGAAAAGCCUUUCAUUUGUGGACUCCAGCUAGAGGAAGGAAGCUUUUGUAUGUGGAUUCACUGGAGACCAAAAUAUUAAAAAGUGGAAGAGGAAAACCAUAUGUUGCAGUUCUCAUAAGCAGGCAGCUCAAAGUUCUGGUUAAAGAAAUGCUUGAGUUCAUUUUACAGAAAAGUAAAUAUUUUAUCAUGAGAACAGGGUAUACUAAUAAUAUUGAUACCUCUGUUACAAACAUUGACAUUUUAAGUUGUAUUCUGUUUUCUCUAAUUUUUUAAAUCAGGAAAACCUAAGAAUUAGAUAUUUCAAAGAAACACAAAAUGACCAAACAUUUUAGCAUAAUUCUUCAAAAUGUAACUUAAGAAGGAAAGAAGAGAUCCAACAGAAUAAAGAUAGAAGAUAAUUUUUAUAAGCUUAUGAUUCCUUCUCUUCUAUGAGUCACAGCAAAGUUAGCUGAUAUUUUAUAGUUGCAGCAAUUGAAUGCAGGUUAUAAUAGAAGUGGGGAAAAUCACUAAUAAUUAUCUGCAUCCUAUUUCAUAGUCAAUUCAAUAACGUAAUGUUAAGAUAGUCUCCUUAUCUCUUUUGGUUGACAAAGGGUUAUCCUUGCCUUCGUAUUACUUGUGAAUAAGCCUAGUGAUGAGAACAAGAUUAGUGUGGUCCUCUUCCAACUUCCUAUAGGAGAGAAUGCAAGAAGAUCUUCCCAUUCUUUUUAACCUGACCACAUUUGUGUUUGAUUUCCUUUCUAUGUCUUUGAAGCAGCCAAACAAAUAAAGCCUGCUUUAAUACAUGUAUCCUUUAAAGAAUAUGGCUUCCAGCUCAAAGUUUCAGUAUGUGAAACCAAAAGUAUCUAAGACAGGUCUCAAUCAAUUUAGAAAGUUUAUUUUGCCAAGGUUAAGGUGACAACCAUGACACAAUCUCAGGAGAUCCUGAUGACAUGUGCCCAAGGUGGAUGGGUCACAACUUGGUUUUAUACAUUUUAGGGAGACAUGAGACAUCAGUCAAAUACAUUUAAGAUGUACAUUGGUUCGGUCCAGAAAGUCAGAACAAUUCAAAGCAGGUGCUUCCAGGUUAUAGGUAGAUUUAAAAAUUUUCUGAUUGGCAAUUUGGUUGAAAGAGUUGCCAUCAAUAUAAAGAAAUGUCUGGGAUAUGACAAGAGGUUGUGGAGACCAAAG